AUUGAACGCUGGCGGCAUGCUUUACACAUGCAAGUCGAACGGCAGCACAGGGAGCUUGCUCCCGGGUGGCGAGUGGCGCACGGGUGAGUAAUACAUCGGAACGUGUCCUGUUGUGGGGGAUAACUGCUCGAAAGGGUGGCUAAUACCGCAUGAGACCUGAGGGUGAAAGCGGGGGAUCGCAAGACCUCGCGCAAUUGGAGCGGCCGAUGCCCGAUUAGCUAGUUGGUGAGGUAAAGGCUCACCAAGGCGACGAUCGGUAGCUGGUCUGAGAGGACGACCAGCCACACUGGGACUGAGACACGGCCCAGACUCCUACGGGAGGCAGCAGUGGGGAAUUUUGGGACAAUGGGGGCAACCCUGAUCCAGCCAUGCCGCGUGCAGGAUGAAGGCCUUCGGGUUGUAAACUGCUUUGUCAGGGACGAAAGGACCGUGUUAAUACCAUGGUCUGCUGACGGUACCUGAAGAAUAAGCACCGGCUAACUACGU
rnacentral:rRNA from 1 species